rnacentral:rRNA from 2 species
ACUGAUUAGAAGCUUGCUUCUAUGACGUUAGCGGCGGACGGGUGAGUAACACGUGGGCAACCUGCCUGUAAGACUGGGAUAACUUCGGGAAACCGAAGCUAAUACCGGAUAGGAUCUUCUCCUUCAUGGGAGAUGAUUGAAAGAUGGUUUCGGCUAUCACUUACAGAUGGGCCCGCGGUGCAUUAGCUAGUUGGUGAGGUAACGGCUCACCAAGGCAACGAUGCAUAGCCGACCUGAGAGGGUGAUCGGCCACACUGGGACGAGACACGGCCCAGACUCCUACGGGAGGCAGCAGUAGGGAAUCUUCCGCAAUGGACGAAAGUCUGACGGAGCAACGCCGCGUGAGUGAUGAAGGCUUUCGGGUCGUAAAACUCUGUUGUUAGGGAAGAACAAGUACGAGAGUAACUGCUCGUACCUUGACGGUACCUAACCAGAAAGCCACGGCUAACUACGUGCCAGCAGCCGCGGUAAUACGUAGGUGGCAAGCGUUAUCCGGAAUUAUUGGGCGUAAAGCGCGCGCAGGCGGUUUCUUAAGUCUGAUGUGAAAGCCCACGGCUCAACCGUGGAGGGUCAUUGGAAACUGGGGAACUUGAGUGCAGAAGAGAAAAGCGGAAUUCCACGUGUAGCGGUGAAAUGCGUAGAGAUGUGGAGGAACACCAGUGGCGAAGGCGGCUUUUUGGUCUGUAACUGACGCUGAGGCGCGAAAGCGUGGGGAGCAAACAGGAUUAGAUACCCUGGUAGUCCACGCCGUAAACGAUGAGUGCUAAGUGUUAGAGGGUUUCCGCCCUUUAGUGCUGCAGCUAACGCAUUAAGCACUCCGCCUGGGGAGUACGGUCGCAAGACUGAAACUCAAAGGAAUUGACGGGGGCCCGCACAAGCGGUGGAGCAUGUGGUUUAAUUCGAAGCAACGCGAAGAACCUUACCAGGUCUUGACAUCCUCUGACAACUCUAGAGAUAGAGCGUUCCCCUUCGGGGGACAGAGUGACAGGUGGUGCAUGGUUGUCGUCAGCUCGUGUCGUGAGAUGUUGGGUUAAGUCCCGCAACGAGCGCAACCCUUGAUCUUAGUUGCCAGCAUUCAGUUGGGCACUCUAAGGUGACUGCCGGUGACAAACCGGAGGAAGGUGGGGAUGACGUCAAAUCAUCAUGCCCCUUAUGACCUGGGCUACACACGUGCUACAAUGGAUGGUACAAAGGGCUGCAAGACCGCGAGGUCAAGCCAAUCCCAUAAAACCAUUCUCAGUUCGGAUUGUAGGCUGCAACUCGCCUACAUGAAGCUGGAAUCG